GAUGAACGCUGGCGGCGUGCCUAAUACAUGCAAGUCGAGCGAACAGACGAGGAGCUUGCUCCUCUGACGUUAGCGGCGGACGGGUGAGUAACACGUGGAUAACCUACCUAUAAGACUGGGAUAACUUCGGGAAACCGGAGCUAAUACCGGAUAAUAUAUUGAACCGCAUGGUUCAAUAGUGAAAGACGGUUUUGCUGUCCCUUAUAGAUGGAUCCGCGCCGCAUUAGCUAGUUGGUAAGGUAACGGCUUACCAAGGCAACGAUGCGUAGCCGACCUGAGAGGUUGAUCGGCCACACUGGAACUGAGACACGGUCCAGACUCCUACGGGAGGCAGCAGUAGGGAAUCUUCCGCAAUGGGCGAAAGCCUGACGGAGCAACGCCGCGUGAGUGAUGAAGGUCUUCGGAUCGUAAAACUCUGUUAUUAGGGAAGAACAAAUGUGUAAGUAACUAUGCACGUCUUGACGGUACCUAAUCAGAAAGCCACGGCUAACUACGUG
rnacentral:rRNA from 1 species